CCUACGGGUGGCAGCAGUGGGGAAUAUUGGGCAAUGGGCGAAAGCCUGACCCAGCCACGCCGCGUGAAGGAAGACGGCUUUCGGGUUGUAAACUUCUUUUGACAGGGAAGAGCAGAAGCCUGUGCCUAUGGAAUAAGCCACGGCUAACUACGUGCGAGCGGCCGCGGUACUACGUAGGUGGCAAGCGUUGUCCGGCUUUCCUGGGUGUAACGGGCGUGUAGCCGGGCUGACAAGCCAGAUGUGAAAUCCGGGGGCUCAACCCGCGAACUGCAUUUGAAACUGUUGGUCUUGAGUAUCGGAGAGGCAGGCGGAAUUCCUAGUGUAGCGGUGAAAUGCGUAGAUAUGAGGAGGAACACCAGUGGCGAAGGCGGCCUGCUGGACGACAACUGACGGUGAGGCGCGAAAGCGUGGGGAGCAAACAGGAUUAGAUACCCGGGUAGUC
rnacentral:rRNA from 1 species